rnacentral:rRNA from 1 species
GAUGAACGCUAGCGAUAGGCCUAACACAUGCAAGUCGAGGGGCAUCACAUGAAGGAGCAAUCUGAGGUGGCGACCGGCGCACGGGUGAGUAACACGUAUGCAACCUACCUGUAAGCGGGGAAUAACCCGUUGAAAGACGGACUAAUACCGCAUAAUACUGGAGAUCUGCAUGGAUAUUCAGUUAAACAUUUAUGGCUUACAGAUGGGCAUGCGCAUGAUUAGAUAGUUGGAGAGGUAACGGCUCCCCAAGUCAACGAUCAUUAGGGGUUCUGAGAGGAAGGUCCCCCACACUGGUACUGAGACACGGACCAGACUCCUACGGGAGGCAGCAGUGAGGAAUAUUGGUCAAUGGACGCAAGUCUGAACCAGCCACGUCGCGUGAAGGAAGACGGCCCUACGGGUUGUAAACUUCUUUUAUACGGGAAUAAAGUGCCCCACGCGUGGGUUUUGCAUGUACCGUAUGAAUAAGGAUCGGCUAACUCCGUGCCAGCA